UUUAGUGGCUAUAGUGUUAUGGCUACUAGAAUUUUUACUAAAACAUUUUUUCCGUAACAAUUGGCCAAUUAACAAAUGGAAAGACAGAUCGCGUGAAACAGAGAUAGAAGAGAGAGCUCACCACAGAAACUCUAAAUCGUCGCCGUCAGCAUCGCCGUUGCAGUUACAAAGGCUCCUGGAAUCGAGCAAAGGCUCCCCUUCUGCCUCUGAGAUCGAGAGAAAGCGUCUUUUUCGUCAACAAAUCUCCUCCACGAAGGACUCCUUGGACUUCAUUUUCGUCCGAUCUGCCUCAGAUCCGCAUCGAUCUCAUCGUUUGUUCGUCUCAAAUCUACAUCACCAAGGUCUUCCAGCCACCGUUGCUGCUCUUGUCACAACACCACACCUCCACCUCUUGCACCGCCUCCGUUCUUGCGCGUAGACGCAAAAGAUCGUCGCUGCGAUAGGGCUUCUCCGUUUAUUUUUCGAUUUUGGUUUGAAUAUUCAGAAGCAUUCAAAGACAUGAUUGAAGGAAUGAGAAUGGAUCUUUCGAAGUCUCGAUACAAGAACUUUGACAAACUAUAUCUCUACUGUUAUUAUGUUUGCCAGCACAGUCAGUUUAAUGAGUGUUUCAAUCGGUUUAAUAUUAUCUUAACCAUAUCUAGAAAUGUUGCUAUAUUCCUUACUCAUAAUUCGCUGCUUACAUAUUGAUUUUGACAUAGUAGUUUUAACAAGGAGAGCAGACUAGGAAAAGUGGGAGAAGGAUCAAAUAGAAUAGGAGAUAAUGCUAUGAACUCUUCCUCAAGAUAUCAGUCUUUAGCAUUUUGACUAUUAAAGUGCAGUUUCCUUUGUGUUUUUAACUUGAAGAGAUCUGCACAUGAAUAAUCAUUUAAAUAUAACUGAUUGACUAAUGUAUCAAGAACUGCUUAGAUGAGUAUAAUUUGAGUGACUUUAUAUUUAAAGAUUUACUAAUUGUUUCUUUUAUUUGAAUUUGGCAUGUGUGUUUAAUAGGUUCCAACAAGUUAUUGCAUAUUGGUCAUGACAGAGAGAGAGAUUAAUAGUGCAAGAUGGUAUUUGUUGUUAGUACAGUAUUAUUAAAUAGUGAAAACAGAGGAAGUUGCAGUGUUAAGCUCAGUCCUCAGGUUUAUAAUAUUGAGUUGAAAAGGCUUGGAAGAUGCCAUAUGAAUUGGACAGAGACAAUGGUAUCAAUGGGGAAUCAAAGUAUUACAAAGAUCAGCUAGUUCCAUGGAGGUAGAUGAACUUGUUUUCUCCAAGAUGAUGCUUUAAGUUUUACAGAGACACGUCAAAUGCUCGGGAACAGUUUUAAAAUGCUUCCUCUUCAAUGGACCGACCAGUUUGAUUCUGGCAUUCAGGUCACUCCCUGCAGGAAGCUCAUUUUGAGAUAGAAGGGGACAUAGCAACCCAGGAAGCUCAUUUUGAGUUUAUAGACUUGUAUUUUUUGUUGUUUAGAUUUGUAACAUAAUUUAUUAUUUUUCAAGAGAAAUUUGUGUAUCAAAAUUUUGAGUUUAAUGAAAUAUCUCAUUUUGUAGUAA